AAUCCCUGACUCUAAGAAACCGGGAGACACUUCUCGGUCGUGGUGUGCAGGCCCGGCAAGCAUCACCGGGACGCCUAAAGCGAUCGAUACCGUCGCCCACCUGCCACGAGGCAGGGUU
rnacentral:sRNA from 1 species